AUGGAGAGUUUGAUCCUGGCUCAGGAUUAACGCUAGCGGUGUGCCUAAGGUAUGCAAGUCGAGGGUGUUUCUUCGGAAAUGCCCGGCAGACGGCUGAGUAACGCGUAGAAAUCUACCCCAAACUCGGGUAUAACUCAUCGAAAGAUGAGACAAUCCCCGAUAGUCUCGCAAGAGUAAAGCUCCGGCGGUUUGGGAUGAGUCUGCGUCCUAUCAGGUAGUUGGUGGGGUAAAUGCCUACCAAGCCUAUGACGGGUAGCUGGUCUGAGAGGAUGAUCAGCCAGACUGGGACUGCGACACGGCCCAGACUCCUACGGGAGGCAGCAACUAGGAAUCAUGCGCAAUGGGCGAAAGCCUGACGCUGCGACACCGCGUGAAGGAAGAAGGUCUUCGGAUUGUAAACUUCUUUUGUUGGGGAACAAGUUCUGAGUGUACCCAACGAAUAAGUGCCUGCUAACCACGUGCCAGAAGCAUCGGUAAUACGUGGGGCACAAGCGUUAUCCGGAUUUACUGGGCGUAAAGAGAUACGUAGGCGUCCCAAAAAGUUUCGUGUCAAAUUUCUUGGCUCAACCAAGUCUAGGCACGGAAAACUCUUGGGAUUGAGGUAAGUAGAGGAGAGGGGAAUUCCUGGUGGAGCGGUUAAAUGCGUUGAUAUCAGGAGGAAUACCAAGGGCGAAGGCACCUCUCUGGACUUAACCUGACGCUAAGGUUCGAAAGCGUGGGGAGCAAAACGGAUUAGAUACCCGUGUAGUCCACGCCCUAAACGAUCCCUGCUAAACGUCUGAUAUUCGUAAGUUUUUCUCGACUUGUCGAGGAAGGUUUUACGUAUAUUGGGUGUUACAGCUAACGCGUUAAGCAGGGCGCCUGAGGAGUACGGCCGCAAGGCUAAAACUUAAAGGAAUUGACGGGGACCCGCACAAGCAGUGGAGCGCCUGGUUUAAUUCGAUGAUCCACGAAGAACCUCACCUGGGCUUGAACUGUAGCUGCACACUCCAUGAAAGUGGAGGAGCCUUCGAGGGUGCUACAGAGGUGCUGCAUGGCUGUCGUCAGCUCGUGUCGUGAGAUGUAGGGUUAAGUCCCACAACGAGCGCAACCCCUAUCUAGUGUUACAAUUACUCUAGAGACUGCCCUGUUAUAACAGGGAGGAAGGAGGGGACGACGUCCAGUCAUCAUGUCCCUUAUGUCCAGGGCUACACAGACGCUACAAUGGCCAAUACAAUGGGUUGCCAAGCGGUGACGCGGAGCUAAUCCCAUCAAAGUUGGUCUCAGUUCGGAUUGCAGGCUGCAACUCGCCUGCAUGAAGUCGGAAUUGCUAGUAAUCGCGAAUCAGCGAGUCGCGGUGAAUACGUUCUCGGGUCUUGUACACACCGCCUGUCAAGGCACGGGAGUCGCUCUUGCUCGAAGUCCCCUUUUGGGGCCGAAAGCUAAGGGUGGCGACCAGGCUUAAGUCAUAACAAGGUAGCCGUAGGGGAAUCUGCGGCUGGAUUAUCUCCUU
rnacentral:rRNA from 1 species